UACGUAGGGACCGAGCGUUGUCCGGAAUCAUUGGGCGUAAAGAGCGUGUAGGCGGCUUGCUAAGUCUUGCGUGAAAUCUCGGGGCUCAACCCCGAGCGGUCGUGGGAAACUGGCAGGCUAGAGUGCGGGAGAGGAGAGUGGAAUUCCCGGUGUAGCGGUGAAAUGCGCAGAUAUCGGGAAGAACACCCGUGGCGAAGGCGGCUACCUGGACAAAUACUGACGCUGAGGCGCGAAAGCGUGGGGAGCAAACAGG
rnacentral:rRNA from 1 species